GACGGAGGGUGCAAGCGUUAUUCGGAAUCAUUGGGCGUAAAGAGUGUGUAGGCGGCCGGUUAAGUCAGGUGUGAAAGCCCAGGGCUCAACCCUGGAAGUGCACUUGAAACUGGUCGGCUUGAGUUCGGGAGAGGGUAGCGGAAUUCCUGGUGUAGAGGUGAAAUUCGUAGAUAUCAGGAGGAACACCGGUGGCGAAGGCGGCUACCUGGACCGAAACUGACGCUGAGACACGAAAGCGUGGGGAGCAAACAGG
rnacentral:rRNA from 1 species